AUGGCUCCACCUCAUGGCAAGCGCACAAACACGCAAGGAAAGAACCGGAGCUGCGGUUUGGCCUCAUGGGGUGAUGAAUGGCACUGCUUCCUUCUUCAAAAAAUAAUCACCGAGUGUCACCAAGUCAAACAGACUUAACCCGGCCUCUGGAAAUCAGGGUCAGGUGCAGCCGAAAUCUCGGCUCUCUGAGCUUUUUCUACUCAAGGCGUGAAGGUCGCACGCAGGUUUUGGCUGCUCUCUCCAUCGUUUCCCUCCUCUGCGUUAUCGGUGGGAUCGAUAUGGGUUCGGUCUCUGACGGAGCUCACGGGGCAGCUGCACAAACACGUGUGCCAGCACCAAGGACCCAUCGAGGCAGAGGUGACAAGAGGGAGGCAAGGACAGCAGAAGCAGGGGCUGCCUUUUCUCAUUAUAAGUGCUGGAUGAAGAUGUACAUGAAACAUCAGCUUUAAACCAAUUAUGCCUCAACUCUUCACCUGUGGGAACAGAGUUCAUAAUCUCCCAUUGUUUUCCUGUCUUGUCCCCUGCUAUUAUUUGUGCUACAAUCCAAAGGAGCACUGGUUUUAGCUAUAAUAAUUGCAUUUCUAUAACAAUUGCAGCCGCAGAUGCAAAGUAUUCCACUUGAAGUGGCAUUUGUCACUGAGAAACACUAAGUCCAGUGACAACUUAGCUAACUACAGGUGAACUCAAACUUUGCAUUUUUUAGCUAAAAAAAGUUUUCUUGUAUGCUUUUGUUCUCUGAGAAACUUGAAACAAAAAUAUCUGUCUUUUAAAUACCCAGCCUCACACUUCCUGACUGACCCAGUAUGAGCCACUGCUCAUACUCUGCACUCAUUAUUUCCUCUCUUUGAAGAAAAAUUAGCCACAGUCUGGCAAUACCUUGCUUUCCCAUUGACCUUAUCUCUCAUCUUCUGGGGAGAGCGAGCUGCUCUUCUCAAGAAGGCAAGCUAAAGACAGAGCAGAGCACACGGGUGGUGAGAAGGGUUUGAGACAUCCGCUUCUCCAGCCCCGGUCUUUUCUGGUUCUGCUGACUGGUCUCCUCCCUGACACCAACGUACCUCGCUGAUGGCCACUGCAGGAGGAGGCUGAAAACAAUUUGAUUUUCUUUUGCUGCUUUUUUCAGUUUGGCUAUAUUCUUAACAAAAUAUGUCCUUUCU
rnacentral:lncRNA from 1 species